rnacentral:rRNA from 1 species
AGUGAACGCUGGCGGUAGGCCUAACACAUGCAAGUCGAACGGCAGCACAGUAAGAGCUUGCUCUUACGGGUGGCGAGUGGCGGACGGGUGAGGAAUACAUCGGAAUCUACUUUUUCGCGGGGGAUAACGUAGGGAAACUUACGCUAAUACCGCAUACGACCUACGGGUGAAAGCAGGGGAUCUUCGGACCUUGCGCGAUUGAAUGCGCCGAUGUCGGAUUAGCUAGUUGGCGGGGUAAAGGCCCACCAAGGCGACGAUCCGUAGCUGGUCUGAGAGGAUGAUCAGCCACACUGGAACUGAGACACGGUCCAGACUCCUACGGGAGGCAGCAGUGGGGAAUAUUGGACAAUGGGCGCAAGCCUGAUCCAGCCAUACCGCGUGGGUGAAGAAGGCCUUCGGGUUGUAAAGCCCUUUUGUUGGGAAAGAAAAGCAGCAGGUUAAUACCCCGCUGUUCUGACGGUACCCAAAGAAUAAGCACCGGCUAACUUCGUG